AUUGAACGCUGGCGGAAUGCUUUACACAUGCAUGUCGAACGGUAGAGGGGGCAACCCCUCGAGAGUGGCGAACGGGUGAGUAAUAUAUCGGAACGUGCCCAGUCGUGGGGGAUAACGUAGCGAAAGUUACGCUAAUACCGCAUACGAUCUAAGGAUGAAAGCGGGGGAUCGCAAGACCUCGCGCGAUUGGAGCGGCCGAUAUCAGAUUAGGUAGUUGGUGGGGUAAAGGCUCACCAAGCCAACGAUCUGUAGCUGGUCUGAGAGGACGAACAGCCACACUGGAACUGAGACACGGUCCAGACUCCUACGGGAGGCAGCAGUGGGGAAUUUUGGACAAUGGACGCAAGUCUGAUCCAGCCAUUCCGCGUGCAGGAUGAAGGCCCUCGGGUUGUAAACUGCUUUUGUACGGAACGAAAAGGUCUCUCUUAAUACGGGGGACUCAUGACGGUACCGUAAGAAUAAGCACCGGCUAACUACGUGCCAGCCGCCGCAGUAA
rnacentral:rRNA from 1 species